UUAUCCCCGUGUACUGUUAG
rnacentral:miRNA from 1 species